rnacentral:siRNA from 1 species
GUCAGUUGUUCCUCUGACGGUCCU